UACGGAGGGGGGCUAGCGUUGUUCGGAAUUACUGGGCGUAAAGGGCGCGUAGGCGGUCUGGUAAGCGUGCGGUGAAAGCCCGGGGCUCAACCCCCGGGUCGGCCGUGCGAACUGCUGGACUGGAGCUUGUCAGAGGCAGGCGGAAUUCCGGGUGUAGCGGUGGAAUGCGUAGAGAUCCGGAAGAACACCGGUGGCGAAGGCGGCCUGCUGGGACAGUGCUGACGCUGAAGCGCGACAGCGUGGG
rnacentral:rRNA from 1 species